CCCACCUCCUGUCUCUACAGGUUUGACCCCCAUGUAGGUGGAGUCCUAUAGGAUUAGAUCUUUUGUGUCUGGCCUGUCGCACUCAGCACCAUGUCCUGCAGGCUCGCCCGCGUUGUAGCGUGCGUCAGAACAGAGUAAUAACCCACUGUGUGGAUGGGCCACCUUUCGUCCACCCGUUCCUCUGCCAAUGGACGCUUGGGUUGUGUCCACCCCUCGGCUGUUGUGGGUGUGCAGGUUCGAGUCCUGGCUUUCGAUCUGGGACGGCUCUCUCAGCACCAUUCCGCAUGAGCCGUCGGCACUCGAGGACAGCCAGCAGAGCCACUCCGGGGAACUGGCCUUGGAAGGGGGCUCUCAGCACAGCGAAGUUGCCCCAGCGGGGGGCCCACGGCACCAUCAUUUGCCCCAUUGAAAAUGGGGGCACCCCCUGGGAGGGCUGGCUGGAUCCCCGCACGGUGGCACACUAUGCAGCUGGUGCCGGCUGGCCUGACCCCAGGAGACCCCCAGGCACUUUGUGGCGGCAACAGAGCAAGGUGGAGAACAGACGUCGCGGUCCUGUUCUGUGAAAGGGGAGCUGAGCACGUGUGCAGGUGCGCGUGCAAACACACAGGGACUAUAAGUGCGCGUGGACUGCGGGACAACGUGUCGCCCAGCCCCUGCCGGGGGAGACCAGCUCGCUCCAAUUUCCAACAGGCAGAGUGAUGGGGUGAACUCCCUGGUGUGGGCAUCCUGGCCUCGUGGUGAACAUCCCACCGAGAGAAACUCAGAGGGCAGAGCUUGCCCCGUCAUCCGCGGGCCCCGCGGGCUGGGGCUGGGCCGGUGCGGGAAGGGGAGAUUUUCCCUAAAGGUGGUGGCCUGAGUUUCCUCCGCGGGACAACCACGGACGGAUCAGAACCCACAAAUCCUCCCCUGGUGGCUGAGGCCUCGCCCACAAGGCUGCUCUGUGAGGGCUCUGCUUUCUGAAGGCGGGCUCUCCCCCAAGGGCGCAGCAUGUGGGCCGGGCCCCCGACGGAGCCCUGCAGCCUGCAGGACGGGCUCCUGGGACAGUGCCAUCUCCAUGGGCUGGAGGCUGGGUGCCUGCCAAGCCUCUUUAUGUUUUGUCUUGCCAGCCAGGCCACAUUUCCCUGGGCCGGCCUGGGCUUGUGCCACACACGAAGAAGGUAGGAAAACAGACCCACCCUCUGUUCCUCCUGGGCCUGCCACAGGGCGGGGACGGAGCUCUCCUGGACACGUGGGGAUGACGCAGGGCCCAGGAUCUGCGCCCCGGGCUGGCUUCACCUGGGUCUGGGCAGUGCAGCACGGCGUUCAGACUCUCUGGGUGCCCUUGGGAGGCCCCGACCAGGACGGACCCCUGGGCUGGGCACCUGCAGGCCCUCACGCACGCCCCCUCCCGUCUACGACUCUAGCUCCUCGCUUUCCUGGGGUGUGCCCGGCUAACCCUAGGGAGCUGGUGUGUUGAGAGUGAGCACCAGGGCGGCUGGGACUCAACAAACAGCCACUGUCCUUGGUGGUUAUUCUAUUCAGAUGGCAGGGUCAUCAUCCCCAGCAAAGCAGGUGGGGCCCUCUCCCGGACGCUGGCCCCUAGAGGGGUUUCUGUGGCUGGGGCAGGCAGGGGACCCCCCUCCCCCUCCCCCAGGGGCUCAGGCAGAGGGGAACAGGUUCGCCACAGAGCCCUCACCCCCUUGGCCUGCAGGCACACUCUGCCCCUAGUUUCCAGUGACACCUGUCUCUGGACAGCGUCACGGCUGCUGCCCUGCUGGGUCUACCUGGACACCGAGCUGGUCUUACAAAACCCAGGGCCCAGGGGUGCGGUGGGUCAGGACCCCCAGGGUAACUGGGAAGAGCCCUUCUGCUGGCUAGGAUGCCUCUGGGCACAGAGAGGCUGCCCAACCGGUCUGACCACACACAUACCUGAAAGGGUGCAGUCACGGCUGGUGUGACGCCCCAGGACCCUCCCACGUGCCUGUGAAAGGCCCAUGGUCCACCAGGCCCGUAGCUCAGGACCCAGGGCGCACAGACUUUUGGGGGCCUUCGGAAGUGUUUUCGCUUCCUUUCAAAUCAGAAGGGGAAAAGUGAACUUUUAGGGUUGAAUGUUAACAUCCGUCUUUAUGCCAACGCCGUCACAGAACGUCAUCUUCCUUAUGUUUUUAUGGAGGAAGGAGCCGUGGGGCCACGUGCUGAGAAACCCCACAGGCUCCACUGCAGGCCCACGCUGGGGGGACCAGCACUGACUGGCAGAGGACGGACGGCACAGACGCAUCAGUGCAGAACAAAGGAGGGAGGAGGGAAGAGAGAGCGAGACAGAAGGAAGCGGGGUGGGAGGACGAUUACCUCCCACGUGCUAGACACAAGGAGCCGACAGAGCACUGUGUGCCCACAGCCGUGGUGGCUGGUUGUGGGGCUCUGCUGCCCCCAGCCUCCAAGGAGCCGACCGUGUGCCACAGGCACACGACACUGGCAGCCACCGUGUGCACUGAGGGGACAGGAGAAGACAGCCUGUGCCCCCGGGGGACCGGCCGAGGCCCUGGGAGCAGCAGCUCUCACCCCGUCUGGUGGACUCAUCCACUGGGGUGGGCAGUGGGAGGAAGGGAAUGAAGCUCAUGGGGGCGGAAGUUGGGGGGAGAGAUGCUCCUGCCGCAGCCCCCACCCCCUAAACACAGGACACCUGGAGGCAACUUCGCAGCCUGGUCCAGGCUGAGCCGCUGGGCACCAUCUCAGGGAUGCUCCAGGCCGACCACUAGAGUGGGCACCAAGCAGAGCCCACUCCCUGCUCACAGUUCAAGGGGCAGCUUUGUGCCCAUCAACCGGGCCACAGAAGCGAGCUGCUUCCACCCUCCUGGGAUCCGUCCACCAGAGGGCAGUGCUGCCCAGCCGUUUGCCGAGGCCAGGCGAGCUUGGCAGGUGGCACGGAGAAUGCCGAGAAUCCGGGGUAGGCGUAGGGGACUUGGCCUAGUCUGGGGAAGGAGUCGCCAAAUAAAACACAGGACACCCUCUUAGAUUUCAAUUUCACAUCAAUGAUGAAUAACAUCUUUUUAGUAUAAGUAUAUCCCAAAUGUUGCACGGGACAUACUUAUGCUAAAGAAAUUAUUCCUUGCUGAUCUGAAGUUCAAAUUGUGCCCAGCGUCCUGUAUUUUUAUUUGCUGGGCCUGGCGGCCCUCCCAGGGGACAGCACGGGGCGGGACAACUGCAGGGUAGCAGGAGGAGUGAGUGGGGCUGCAGCUCACGUUCCAAGCUCAUUAGCUCGGCAACUGGUGUCCGGAUGGGUCACCAGGCAGCCACACCUGCCCUGAGCUGUGACUCAGGUGGAUGUUGGCAGUGACCUGGCUGACAUCCAGGCAGAGGCGGGGAGAGGCCGAGCAGCUUGCAGUGAGCUCGGGGACUUUGCUUCUGACCUCUCAUCUGGAGGCAGCAGGGCCCUCAUCUUUUUUUUUUUUUUUUGAGGAAGAUUAGCCCUGAGCUAACUACUGCCAGUCCUCCUCUCUUUGCUGAGGAAGACUGGCCCUGAGCUAACAUCCAUGCCCAUCUUCCUCUUUAUAUGUGGGAUGCCUACCACAGCAUGGCGUGCCAAGCGGUGCCAUGUCUGCACCCAGGAUCCAACCCGGAGAACCCUGGGCCGCUGAGAAGCGGAACGUACGAAUUUAACUGCUGCGCCACCGGCCGGCCCCCAGGGCCCUCAUCUUCAUUCAAGACUCAUAUAUUUGUCCAGGCCUCUGGGUGGUGGAGGGGGUGGUGAGGGUCAAAGGUCAGAGAAUGGGUUCUGCUCACUCUAGAAGGGAUGGCUCUAGUCGUGGUCAGUGCUGUUGGCGCUCCCUAGACUUGUGCAGUGCACAGCCUGCAUAACCGUGCCCAGCGGUCCUGGGCAGUGUCUCUGCUUCCUUCUUCACCCAGGUGCUCUCCCUCAUCUCCGAUGCCUGGCUUCCGCUCCCACCACGGCCCCUGUGCUCCUUGGUUCUAUUUAGGUCAUGAAUUCACCUGGAGUUUAACUGCGGUUUAUGAAUGGAGAUGGGACUCUGACUCACCCCCCAUCCUGGGGAGCUGCUCCUCGCCCCAGCGCCACCCUCUCGUUUGAGUGAGUGUGUGUGUGCAUGCACACAGGGGGCACAGGCAAGAGCUCAGACGCCCAGGCCCCGGAAGGGGGUCUCCAGGGGAAAAAGAAGAAAUGGAGAGGGAGGGCAGACAGACCCGCAGAGGCCCCUGAGGCCCACAGGCAGGUGGGCUGCGCCUGGCCCGUUUCGAUGACUGUGGCAUUCUUGUGUCUGGCUGUCCAUGCGGAGAGCCACCCCAGCCCCAGCCGCUGUGCUUGCACAGAACCAUGUCAACCAUUCCUGCUGGGGACUUUUUCCCAAUGACCUCCAGAGCCCCUCGGUCCCUUCCUGUGGGCAGUGGACCCAGCUCAGCAGGCCAGGCCCUCCGAUGGUCCCCCGACUUCCCGCCAGCUGGCAGGCUUCAUACGGCCCACAGGCUCCUCCUCUGGACUCGUAAGGGGGAUUCCCUUAUCCCCUUACUUGUUCAUUCUCUUAUUUAUUGGCUCCCAAAGACUUGUGGGGCACCUGCUGGGGAUGCAGCAGGGAGCCCCACGGACAGGCCUCAGGGGGCCAGGCACAGAAACAAAGAACAGCAAGAGUGAACCAAUGGGAGGAAGCUCGGUGGUGGGACCGGAAGCCACCCGCCUCUGCCCGCAGAGGCGAGGGCCUGGCAGGACCCUGGGACGCCGGCUCCUCCCCCACCCUCACAGGCAGCACAGGUUCCUGCGGCCCAGGCUGGGCCGGACUUGGAGAGGAUGGAGGACACCCUGGAAGCCCUGUGUGGGCCACCCUGGGUCACCCAGGAGUGUGGCCCUGGGACGGACAGGCAGCGCAGCAGAAGGGACCCAUGCCAGGUGGCGGGAUGGCCUCUGUGCCUUGUGGCACACCCACCACGAGGUCAGAAAACAUGUAGGCUGGGCCAGCUCUGCCUGAGGGCCCCAGGGCAGCCUAGCCCGCACGCAGGCGCCGCCCCUCCGUGCAGGGCCUGACUCUCCUCGCUGCUUCCCUUCCUCCUGUGCAGCCUCCACAUCAGCCUCCUGGAGAUGCCCCAGAGCGGGCAGAGGCCUCAUGGGGGGCUCCUCCCCCGCGCUCCCUGACCAGCUUUGCAAUCAGCUGCUCCCCGUCC
rnacentral:lncRNA from 1 species